UACGUAGGGGGCUAGCGUUGUCCGGAAUCAUUGGGCGUAAAGCGCGUGUAGGCGGCCCGGUAAGUCCGCUGUGAAAGUCGGGGGCUCAACCCUCGAAUGCCGGUGGAUACUGUCGGGCUAGAGUGCGGAAGAGGCGAGUGGAAUUCCUGGUGUAGCGGUGAAAUGCGCAGAUAUCAGGAGGAACACCAAUGGCGAAGGCAGCUCGCUGGGACGUAACUGACGCUGAGACGCGAAAGCGUGGGGAGCAAACAGG
rnacentral:rRNA from 1 species